AUGAACGCUGGCGGCGUGCCUAAUACAUGCAAGUCGAGCGAACGGACGAGAAGCUUGCUUCUCUGAUGUUAGCGGCGGACGGGUGAGUAACACGUGGAUAACCUACCUAUAAGACUGGGAUAACUUCGGGAAACCGGAGCUAAUACCGGAUGAUAUUUUGAACCGCAUGGUUCAAAAGUGAAAGACGGUCUUGCUGUCACUUAUAGAUGGAUCCGCGCUGCAUUAGCUAGUUGGUAAGGUAACGGCUUACCAAGGCAACGAUGCAUAGCCGACCUGAGAGGGUGAUCGGCCACACUGGAACUGAGACACGGUCCAGACUCCUACGGGGGGCAGCAGUAGGGAAUCUUCCGCAAUGGGCGAAAGCCUGACGGAGCAACGCCGCGUGAGUGAUGAAGGUCUUCGGAUCGUAAAACUCUGUUAUUAGGGAAGAACAUAUGUGUAAGUAACUGUGCACAUCUUGACGGUACCUAAUCAGAAAGCCACGGCUAACUACGUG
rnacentral:rRNA from 1 species